AUUGAACGCUGGCGGCAGGCCUAACACAUGCAAGUCGAGCGAGCGGCGGACGGGUGAGUAAUGUCUGGGAAACUGCCUGAUGGAGGGGGAUAACUACUGGAAACGGUAGCUAAUACCGCAUACCAUCAGAUGUGCCCAGAGGGGAUUAGCUGGUAGCUGGGGUAACGGCCCACCUAGGCGACGAUCCCUAGCUGGUCUGCGAGGAUGACCAGCCACACUGGAACUGAGACACGGUCCAGACUCCUACGGGAGGGAGCAGUGGGGAAUAUUGCACAAUGGGCGAAAGCCUGAUACAGCCAUGCCGCGUGUGUGAAGAAGGCCUUCGGGUUGUAAAGCACUUGCAGCGGGGAGGCGUUACCCGCAGAAGAAGCACCGGCUAACUCCGUGCCAGCAGCCGCGGUAAUUC
rnacentral:rRNA from 1 species